AAGCACUUUAAUCGAUUUCUUCGGAUUGAAAUUUUAGUGACUGAGUGGCGGACGGGUGAGUAACGCGUGGGUAACCUGCCUCACACAGGGGGAUAACAGUUGGAAACGGCUGCUAAUACCGCAUAAGCGCACAGUACCGCAUGGUACAGUGUGAAAAACUCCGGUGGUGUGAGAUGGACCCGCGUCUGAUUAGCUAGUUGGCAGGGCAACGGCCUACCAAGGCGACGAUCAGUAGCCGACCUGAGAGGGUGACCGGCCACAUUGGGACUGAGACACGGCCCAAACUCCUACGGGAGGCAGCAGUGGGGAAUAUUGCACAAUGGGGGAAACCCUGAUGCAGCGACGCCGCGUGAGCGAAGAAGUAUUUCGGUAUGUAAAGCUCUAUCAGCAGGGAAGAAGAAAUGACGGUACCUGACUAAGAAGCACCGGCUAAAUACGUGCCAGCAGCCGCGGUAAUACGUAUGGUGCAAGCGUUAUCCGGAUUUACUGGGUGUAAAGGGAGCGCAGGCGGAAGGCUAAGUCUGAUGUGAAAGCCCGGGGCUCAACCCCGGUACUGCAUUGGAAACUGGUCAUCUAGAGUGUCGGAGGGGUAAGUGGAAUUCCUAGUGUAGCGGUGAAAUGCGUAGAUAUUAGGAGGAACACCAGUGGCGAAGGCGGC
rnacentral:rRNA from 1 species